GACGAACGCUGGCGGCGUGCUUAACACAUGCAAGUCGAGCGGUAAGGCCCUUUCGGGGGUACGACGAGCGGCGAACGGGUGAGUAACACGUGGGUGACCUGCCCUCAGCUCUGGGAGUAAGCCUGGGAAACGUGGGUCGUAAUACCGGAUAUGACUCCAUGACGCAUGUUGGUGGGGUGGAAAGCCUUGUGCGGCUGAGGAUGGGCCCGCGGCCUAUCAGCUUGUUGGUGGGGUGAGGCCUACCAAGGCGACGACGGGUAGCCGGCCUGAGAGGGCGACCGGCCACACUGGGACUGAGACACGGCCCAGACUCCUACGGGAGGCAGCAGUGGGGAA
rnacentral:rRNA from 1 species